rnacentral:rRNA from 1 species
CCCUUAGAUGUCCGGGGCCGCACGCGCGCUACAAUGGAUGCAUCAACGCGUCAUCCUGGCCCGAAAGGGUUGGGGAACCGCUGAACCUCAUCCGUGGUUGGGAUUGGGGUUUGUAAUUAUUCCCCAUGAACUAGGAAUUCCCAGUAAGCGCGAGUCAUAAGCUCGCGUUGAUUACGUCCCUGCCCUUUGUACACACCGCCCGUCGCUACUACCGAUUGGAUGGUUUAGUGAGAUCCUCGGAUUGGUCACGGCACGGUGGCAACACUGCGUCGGUGUGCCGAGAAGACGAUCAAACUUGAUCAUCUAGAGGAAGUAAAAGUCGUAACA